GACGAACGCUGGCGGCGUGCUUAACACAUGCAAGUCGAACGGUAAGGCCCUUCGGGGUACGACGAGUGGCGAACGGGUGAGUAACACGUGGGUGGAUCUGCCUGCACUUCGGGAUAAGCCUGGGAAACUGGGUCUAAUACCGGAUAGGACUCCUGGCUUCAUGGUUGGGGUGUAAAGCUUUGCGGUGUGGGAUGGGCCCGCGGCCUAUCAGCUUGUUGGUGGGGGUAAUGGCCUACCAAGGCGACGACGGGUAGCCGGCCUGAGAGGGUGACCGGCCACACUGGGACUGAGAUACGGCCCAGACUCCUACGGGAGGCAGCAGUGGGGAAUAUUGCACAAUGGGCGCAAGCCUGAUGCAGCGACGCCGCGUGAGGGAUGAC
rnacentral:rRNA from 1 species